CAGCCGCCGCGGUAAAACGUAGGGUGCAAGCGUUAAUCGGAAUUACUGGGCGUAAAGCGUGCGCAGGCGGUUUGUUAAGACAGAUGUGAAAUCCCCGGGCUCAGCCCGGGAACUGCAUUUGUGACUGGCAGGCUAGAGUAUGGCAGAGGGGGGUGGAAUUCCGCGUGUAGCAGUGAAAUGCGUGGAUAUGCGGAGGAACACCGAUGGCGAAGGCAGCCCCCUGGGCCAAUACUGACGCUCAUGCACGAAAGCGUGGGGAGCAAACAGGAUUAGAUACCCGCGUAGUCCCUGUCUCUUAUAC
rnacentral:rRNA from 1 species